rnacentral:lncRNA from 1 species
GUUUGAACGGAUAUGUAAACUGAUGAAAAGUGAUUCUAGGAGUCUAGAAUGGCUUGAUCAAUGCGUAAGUGCUUUGCAAAUAUUUUUCAUAAAAAAUCUUUUCAACCACAUUUUUUUGCAUAGACUAGUAGUUUGAACGGAUAUGUAAACUGAUGAAAAGUGAUUCUAGGAGUCUAGAAUGGCUUGAUCAAUGCGUAAGUGCUUUGCAAAUAUUUUUCAUAAAAAAUCUUUUCAACCACAUUUUUUUGCAUAGUCAUUUGUGAAGUGCCAUUGGGUUGGCUGCAAGUAUGUGAAAUUAGUCAGAUAGAUGGGGCUCAAAAGAAACACAACACUUAUAUUGGAUGGAGGAAUAAAAUAGUUGGGAAAGAAAUAACUAAUUGUACAGAAACACCAAUUUCCUGAAAUUUGAGCUAAUAAUGGUUGAUAUUUAUUUUGCAGGGCCAGACAUACUCUUAAAUGUUUUUGCCUGUAUUAAAUAGAUUAAUAUUCACAAUAACUCUGUAAAUUAGGCACUGUCAUUUUUCCAAUUUAAAGAAGAAGAAACUAAAGUCUGAAUGAUUUAGUAACUUGGUCAGUGUUCUAUAGCUUGGCAGAGUAAGGAUUAGAACAAAUUUAAGGCCUAUAGACUUAUAGCCUGGUUUAAAAAUAUCUAUGCUCUAUUGUCCCUAUAAUUUAAAUUUCUGAAGUGCUUCUUAAGGGAAAGUGCUAUAUCGUCUUGUUUUUGAAGGCAAAAUAACAAUAUACAUUAAAAUUUCAUUUUUUAUAUCUACUCCAAAAAUAUUUAUUUUCUGGAACCAUUUAUGACUUUGAUAAUUGUUGCAACAAUUUCACGUGUAGAGUUCUUACUGCUUAACUUUAUUCAUAUCAACAGAUUAUUUUUCUGUUUCCCUGUGUGGGAAUUGCACACAAGUUGAUAUUCUACACUGAUAAAACAUUUUUAACGGAGGCUGAUAAUUCCUACUGGAAUUAGCCUCAAGUAAAGUUUUGCUUUUUGAUAACUUCACAUCAAACUGAUUAGAAGAAUUUGAAGAAUAAUUACCGUAAAGCAUUUAUUUCCAAAAUCAU